UACAGAGGGUGCAAGCGUUAAUCGGAAUUACUGGGCGUAAAGCGCGCGUAGGUGGUUUGUUAAGUUGGAUGUGAAAUCCCCGGGCUCAACCUGGGAACUGCAUUCAAAACUGGCAAGCUAGAGUAUGGUAGAGGGUGGUGGAAUUUCUUGUGUAGGAGUGAAAUCCGUAGAUAUAAGAAGGAACACCAAUGGCGUAGGCAGGUUACUGGACCAUUUCUGACACUGAGGCACGAAAGCGUGGGGAGCGAACCGGAUUAGAAACCCUGGUAGU
rnacentral:rRNA from 1 species